GACGAACGCUGGCGGCGUGCUUAACACAUGCAAGUCGAACGGAAAGGCCCUGCUUGCAGGGUACUCGAGUGGCGAACGGGUGAGUAACACGUGGGUGAUCUGCCCUGCACUUCGGGAUAAGCCUGGGAAACUGGGUCUAAUACCGGAUAGGAGCCAUUUUUAGUGUGAUGGUUGGAAAGUUUUUUCGGUGUAGGAUGAGCUCGCGGCCUAUCAGCUUGUUGGUGGGGUAAUGGCCUACCAAGGCGGCGACGGGUAGCCGGCCUGAGGGGGUGGACGGCCACAUUGGGACUUGGGUACGGCCCAGGCGCCCACGGGAGGCCGCAGGGGGGAAUAUUGCACAAUGGGGGCGAGCCUGGUGCAGCGAAGCCGCGUGGGGGAUGACGGGCUUCGGGUUGUAAACUCCUUUCGCUAGGGACGAAGCUUUUUGUGACGGUACCUAGAUAAGAAGCACCGGCUAACUACGUG
rnacentral:rRNA from 1 species